rnacentral:rRNA from 1 species
AUGUUACUCGUGCUUCUACUAUUGUGCAUGCCUCUGCUACUUGGCUCCCGCACGCAGCCGCUGGACGCGAGCUGCGCGCCGGCGGCGUGCGGCAACCUGACCAUCACAUGCCUGUUCUGGCUGCUCGGCCACCACGAACCGAGCUGCGGCUACCCAACCUUCGGUAUCACGUGCGACGACCCCACCGGCGCCACGGUGCCCUCCCUCAGCAAGUCCUACCUCCGCCUCCUCGACAUCCGCUACGGCAACCGCUCCGUGGUGGCCUUCCACAGCGGCCUCGUCGCCGGCAGCGAUGACCCCUGCGGCGCGACGCGGUUCAACGUGUGCAACAGCCUCGCACUCUCGCCGCUGGCCGUCAGCGGCGCCAAUUGGGAGCUCUUCUUCUGCAACAACUGCUCGCGUGCGCCGCCGCCGCCCGUAGGGGCACUCUGGUUGCCCAACAACUGCUCCAGCACCACCGACGCCUGGUCCGUGCACAUAGGGCGGAGGUACGAGACCCGGCCGGUGGGGCCGGCGGAGUGCAAGUACUCGGUCGUCCCGGUGCUGCCCGGCUCGGAGCUGCGGGCGUGGGACAACUACGUGGGGAUCGUCGGGCGCGGGUUCCUGCUGGAGUGGACGGUGCCCGGGGACUGCGCUGGUAUGAAGCCGGCGCCAACGCCCUAUGUAAACAAUUUGGCAUCUUUCAGGGUUUGUUUGCUAUAUUUAAGCCAUUUAGUGCAUUUCUAG